CCUACGGGUGGCAGCAGUAGGGAAUAUUGCUCAAUGGGGGAAACCCUGACGCAGCAACGCCGCGUGGAGGAUGAAGGUUUUCGGAUCGUAAACUCCUGUUGGUAGAGAAGAUAAUGACGGUAUCUAACGAAUAAGCACCGGCCAAUUCCGUGCCAGCAGCCGCGGUAAUACGGAGGGUGCAAGCGUUAAUCGGAAUCACUGGGCGUAAAGAGCGCGGAGGCGGGAUGGCAAGUCAGAUGUGAAAUCCUAUGGCUUAACCAUAGAACUGCCUUUGAAACUGGUAAUCUAGAGUAUGGGAGAGGAAGGUGGAAUUCUUGGUGUAGGAGUAAAAUCCGUAGAGAUCAAGAGGAAUAUUCAUUGCGAAGGCGACCUGCUAGAACAUAACUGACGCUGAUGCGCGAAAGCGUGGGGAGCAAACAGGAUUAGAUACCCGGGUAGUC
rnacentral:rRNA from 1 species